UACGAGGGGUGCGAGCGUUGCUCGGAAUUAUUGGGCGUAAAGGGUAGGUAGGUGGUUUCAUUUGUCUGGGGUGAAAGCCUUGGGCUUAACUCAAGAAGUGCCCCGGAAACGGUGAAACUCGAGUACUGGAGAGGGUCGUGGAAUUCCCGGUGUAGUGGUGAAAUGCGUAGAUAUCGGGAGGAACACCAGUGGCGAAGGCGACUACCUGGCCCAUUCUUGACGCUGAGGCGCGAAAGCUAGGGGAGCGAACGGGG
rnacentral:rRNA from 1 species